GCUUAGCCCUAAACCUAGAUAGUUAUUAUAACAAAACUAUUCGCCAGAGAACUACUAGCCAGCGCUUAAAACUCAAAGGACUUGGCGGUGCCCUAAACCCACCUAGAGGAGCCUGUUCUAUAAUCGAUAAACCCCGAUAGACCUCACCUCUUCUUGCUAAUACAGUCUAUAUACCGCCAUCGUCAGCUUACCCCAACAGGGAGGAAAAGUAAGCAAGAUAAUUAACCAUAAAAACGUUAGGUCAAGGUGUAACAUAUGAAGAGGAAAGUAAUGGGCUACAUUUUCUAUUUUAGAACACAACGGAUCAUCUUAUGAAACCUAAGAUAUGAAGGAGGAUUUAGCAGUAAAUCAAGAAUAGAGAGCUUGGUUGAAACAGGCAAUAGGGCGCGC
rnacentral:rRNA from 1 species